rnacentral:rRNA from 1 species
CCUACGGGUGGCAGCAGUAGGGAAUCUUCCACAAUGGGCGAAAGCCUGAUGGAGCAACGUCGCGUGGGUGAAGAAGGUCUUCGGAUCGUAAAACCCUGUUGUUAGAGAAGUAAGUGCGUGAGAGUAACUGUUCACGUUUCGACGGUAUCUAACCAGAAAGCCACGGCUAACUACGUGCCAGCAGCCGCGGGAAUACGUAGGUGGCAAGCGUUAUCCGGUUUUUUUGGGCGUAAAGGGAACGCAGGCGGUCUUUUAAGUCUGAUGUGAAAGGCUUCGGCUUAACCGGAGUAGUGCAUUGGAUACUGGGAGAGUUGAGUGCAGAAGAGGAGAGUGGAACUCGAUGUGUAGCGGUGAAAUGCGUAGAUAUAUGGAAGAACACCAGUGGCGAAAGCGGCUCUCUGGUCUGUAACUGACGCUGAGGUUCGAAAGCGUGGGUAGCAAACAGGAUUAGAUACCCGGGUAGUC